rnacentral:rRNA from 1 species
UGGGGAAUUUUGGACAAUGGGCGAAAGCCUGAUCCAGCCAUCCCGCGUGAAGGAUGACGGUCCUAUGGAUUGUAAACUUCUUUUGUAUAGGGAUAAACCUAGAUACGUGUAUCUAGCUGAAGGUACUAUACGAAUAAGCACCGGCUAACUCCGUGCCAGCAGCCGCGGUAAUACGGAGGGUGCAAGCGUUAUCCGGAUUUAUUGGGUUUAAAGGGUCCGUAGGCGGGCCGAUAAGUCAGUGGUGAAAUCUCAUAGCUUAACUAUGAAACUGCCAUUGAUACUGUCGGUCUUGAGUAGAUUAGAGGUGGCUAGAAUAAGUAGUGGAGCGGUGAAAUGCAUAGAUAGUACUUAGAACACCUGUUGCGAAGGCAGGUUACCAUGAUAUAACUGACGCUGGGGGACGAAAGCGUGGGGAACGAACA